AUCUAUUUAACACAUGAACAAAUUCUUAAACAGCCAUUUUUACAUGGCUCCUUUUUCUUCUUGAAUUUAUAUUUUCAUUCCAGUUACCACGCUGAAUUUUAUCUUUAUGUAAUUUAUUUUUAUGCUUGAAAGCCCUUUAUUGGCCACUCUAUCAUGGUUUACUGUGACAAAAAUGUGUAUGAAGAUUUAAAUUUAAUUUUUAAUGUCCAGUGACCAUAAGUUUUUAAAUGUUAAGAGAUUUUUUUUGAAUGAGUAUCCCUGCAAUUAUUAGCAAUGAACAGAAACAGACAGUAGAUCAAAGUAAUAACUAUAUAUCCCAGAUUUUGAUGACCAUGGGAGUUAAAAGUAAAACAUGAAUGGAAACUUAUCUUCUCUAUUCAUCAAUUGCCACAUACAUUAUUGAUUAAACUUAUUUAUUGUUAAUACAUACUAUUAUUCAGGAUCAAUUCUAUUGGUUUUGUGUAUGUGUGAAUACAAGGGAUUUUUAUUUUAUUGACAUGUGACUCAAGUCUUUGAAUUAUUUGCUGGGACUAUCUAUUGGUCUCUUAUCAAUAAUUAUUUUAUUUUUAUAUCUAUAAUAACCUUUUAUGUUUGUUUCCCCAUUAGUUUUUGUUUUGAUCUAUCUAUCUAUCUAUCUAUCUAUCUAUCUAUCUAUCUAUCUAUCUUUAAGAAGUUGGAGUGUCCAGAGUGUAAGAUUUAUUCUCUAAUCACCAGCAUCUUUGCUAGACUACUGGGAGUUUUAUAUUCAAGUUUAGAAAACAUACAUAUAAGAGUUGAGGAUCUUUAAAAUACCUCAAAGCUAUCCUUACUGGGGACAUAUUUGGAGGUCUUCAUGCAUCUUCAAGCUUUGCAAACUCAGGUGGGCAAUGACUUUGGGGAGCUAUAUUCUCAAUCUCUUAUGCCUUCCUUGCGAGGAAGGCUCUUCUGUAAAUUGAGGUUGACUGGAAAAACUAAGGAGUUGGUAUACACAAUGGAGUCUUGUACAUCUAUAUAAGGAAAGAGUGAAUUCCCAAUAAGAAAGCAAAGCACAGAACACAGAAAUUAAUUUGAACUGAUAUGUGUGUGAACAAACAAACAAACCAACAAUCUG
rnacentral:lncRNA from 1 species